rnacentral:rRNA from 1 species
CCCCUUAGAUGUUCUGGGCCGCACGCGCGCUACACUGAUGCAUUCAACAAGCCUAGCCUUGACCGAGAGGUCCGGGUAAUCUUUGAAACUGCAUCGUGAUGGGGCUAGAUUAUUGCAAUUAUUAAUCUUCAACGAGGAAUGCCUAGUAAGCGUGAUUCAUCAAAUCGCGUUGAUUACGUCCCUGCCCUUUGUACACACCGCCCGUCGCUCCUACCGAUUGAAUGUGUUGGUGAGGAGCUCGGAUUGGCAGCAGUUGGUGGUUCGCCACCGGCUAUUGCUGAGAAGUCCUCCAAACCGCCCCAUUUAGAGGAAGGAGAAGUCGUAACA